AUGAGAACCAUGUUUAAAUGUUUUAUCUGUCAAACUCUGCAUAGCACCAGUCAGGCUUUGAUAAGUCAUUUGCGACUAGGUCACAGUUUUUAUCCAAGCACCAAAUUUAAGUUGGCUUGUUCACAAGAUGGUUGCAGCCGUCAGUUCACUACAUAUUCUGGUUUAAAAAAACAUUUAAAUAGUGUUCAUGAUGAAGAUUGUUGUCAAAGUGGUGAUGCAGAACCCUCAGAGUCAUUUCAAGCUGAUUUUGACAGAUUACAAGAUACAGACAUAGCAGUUGCAGGAACAAGUGUUACUCAGAGCCUAGAGGUUGGGUGUUCUGAAAACAAUGGGUCAGGUCAAAGAAUUAAAAAAAAUUCUGAAGCAAUUUGCACUAAAAUUAUUGGUAAACUCAAUGGUAGUGGUUUGGCAAAUAGUUUUGUGUCAUCACUUGUUUGUGAUUUGGAAGAUUUUGCUGAUGGACUGCACUGUGAGUUUAAACAUAAAGUACUGAACGCUGUGCCAACAGAAAAUCCUGUUAGAUCUCCAGUGGAAAAAUGUCUUGAGACUUUUGACAAUCCAGUUGAGAAGUUCGACACUGAAGCUAAAAGAAAGUCAUAUUUCCGUGAAAAAUGGGGAAUUGUGGAUCCAGUGGAAAAGACUUUAGGAAUACGCUAUGAUACAAGGUUAAAUAAAAAAUCAGGCACUUAUGACCAGGUACCAGUAAAAGACACUUUUGUGUACAUUCCAAUUUUGGAAACAAUCAAAUUUAUAUGUCGCAAUUCUUAUAUUUGCGAGCUGCUUGCUAAACCAUGUGUAUCAAAAGAAGACAGAUAUGAAGACUUUUGUGAUGGGAGUUACUAUAAGUCUCAUCCAUUGUUUUCAAAACCACAGACUUCUUUGCAAAUUCAGCUUUAUUAUGAUGACUUUGAGACUGCUAAUCCACUUGGUUCCAAACGUGGUGUUCACAAAGUUGGUGCAAUCUAUUUUGUCCUCAGAAAUCUGCCUCCAAAGUUAAAUUCUGCAUUGAUGAACAUUCAUUUGGUUGCAUUGUUUCAUGCAGAAGAUGUGAAAAAAUACGGCUUUGAUCCUAUUUUACAGCCUCUGAUUGAUGACAUAAAGUUUUUGGAGAGCCAUGGCAUUGAUUUACCCUUCUCAUCUGAAAAGGUCCAUGGCACUAUAUGUCAGAUAACUGGGGACAACUUGGGGAUGCACUCAAUUUUGGGUUUUGUUGAGUCUUUCAGUGGACGUUACUUUUGUCGUUUGUGUUUAAUUGCAAAACAGGAUGCACAGAGUGUGUAUACUGAGGAUGAUCCAAAGAUCAUCUUACGAGGGAAAGAACUUUUUGAAAUGCACUGCAGUGAGUUGCAAUCUGAUCCUCAAAAGCUACAUGUGUUUGGCUUAAGAAAGAAUUCUACACUGAACACUCUUCAAUUCUUUCAUGUUUGCCAGAACUUUUCCUUGGACAUUAUGCAUGAUAUUCUCGAAGGGGUAGCACAAUAUGAGAUAAAGUUACUGUUGGAAUAUCUGUCAGACAAUUUUCUGCCGAAACAUGCUCUUUUGUCACGGAUCUAUGCUUUUGACUAUGGCUACUUGGAGAGCAAAAAUCGUCCAACAAGGGUGAACUUAGACAGUAGUGGUAAUAGUAUAGGUCUUAACUCCAUUCAGACUCUUUGUCUGAUAAGAAACAUUCCUUUAAUUUUUGGUGAUAUUGUGCCAGAAGGAAAUCAGAACUGGACUAUGCUAUUGCUAUUGUUGCAAAUAAUUAACAUCAUAUUCUCUCCAUCUGUUACACAUGGCAUGACUGUGCUUCUAAAACAUUUAACAAUGGAACAUCAUGACUUGUUCAAAUUGUUGUAUCCAGGUAGGAACAUGAUUCCCAAACACCACUUUAUGUUGCACUACCCAACUUGCAUCAGAAAAAUUGGGCCAUUAUUGCAUGUAUGGAGCAUGAGAGGUGAGGCUAAACAUAGGGUGUUCAAAGACACCCUUAAGAACUUUAAGAACAUCACAGUGUCACUUGCCAAAAAACAUCAAACAUCCAUAGCAUACAAGUGGGAGACAUGUCCUUUAAGCCAUGUUGAGUAUGGGCCCUUGAAAUCAUUUGAUGUUGAUAGUGAGGAAAAUAGUGAAAUGAUCUCCCUAGGCUUGCCUGCUGUUGCAGAAGAGGCUUUCUCUGCUAAUUGGGUUAACAUUAAUGGGACUGAGUACAGAACAGGAUUGGUCAUUUGUUGUGGUUCUGAACAUGAGAUGCCGGUGUUUUGCAGAAUAAAAACAAUAGUUUUGGUCAAUAGUCACACCUACUUCAUAGUUCAGAAGCUUGUGGUUGAAAAUUUCAGUGAACAUUGCCAUGCUUAUAAAGUGUUUGAAACGGAUGAAAAAGAUGUUGUUAAAGCAGACUGUAUUGAAAUAUACAAGCCCUUUGAUUUGCAAAGUGCUUAUGGUGAUGAUGAUGGUCUGUACAUUGUGCCAUUAUUUUUGUUGUGA
ensembl:lncRNA